CAGGCUUGUUACAUGUUACAUGUGCCUCUUUUCCCACCUUAGUGUUCGGAAACAUCCUCGAACCAAGGAAAUACAAAUUACCUCUUCUGUCUUUAAAGUGAAAGCCUACGUGAGUAUCGAGCUUGUUAACUACUCAUUACAAAUACAGUUGCCAUCCUGGUGGCUUAUGCUGUCCACUGUUAUGUGUAUUUGUUAUGACGGUGCUAAGUACUUAUGAAAAUCAAAUGUGACAGGGCUCAGCUUCCUGGGGGUCAGCCCAUGAGCCUGCUCUCAGGAAGAGAGAAGCAGAGACUCUGGAGGAAU
rnacentral:lncRNA from 1 species